rnacentral:tRNA from 1 species
GGCGUGGUCAGUAGCUCAGUUGGUAGAGCGUCUGUCAUGUAAACGGAAGACCCGGGUUCAAGUCCCGGCCGCGCCA